AUAUAUAUAUUAGAUCUUCAUCUCAUGUAGCUACUCAAACCUUUGGAAUUUUCUAAGUGCUAAGAGUAACAAGGUGUCUUUUUUUUAAACUAGGGAGGUGACUUUCAGAAAGCCCCUAAGGAUAGGGGUUGAUUGCCAGUGGAGCCAGCCAUGUGAUUAGUGGGUUGGAACUUUCAAUCCUACCCCUUCAACCUUCUGGGAGGAAGAGGAGCUGAAGAUUGAUCUCAGUCUCCAAUGAUUGAGUGAUUGGGUUGACUUAAUCAAUCAUGUCUAUGUAAUGAAGCCUCCAUUAAAACCCAAAAGGGCCCAGCAGGCGUGGCUCAGUGGCUGAGCAUCGACCUGUGAACCAGAAGGUCACGGUUCAAUUCCCCGGUCAGGGCAUAUGGCUAGGUUGUGGGCUACACACCCAGUGUGCAUGAGGCAGCUGAUCAAUGACUCUCUCAUCAUUGAUGUUUCUAUCCCUCUCCCUUCUUCUCUAAAAUCAAUAAAAAAAAAUUUUUUUUUUUUAAAGCAACACAAAAGGAUGGGUUUGGAGAGCUUCUGGGCUGGUGAACAUACGGAGGUGCUGGGAGAGUGGCUCACACAGUGCCCAUGGGAGCUCCUUUCUUCACACCUUUCCCUCUGCAUCUCCUCCAUCUGGCUGCUCCUGAGUUACAUCCUUUUAUAAAAGCUGGUAACCUAGUAAGU